UACGUAGGGUGCAAGCGUUGUCCGGAAUUUAUUGGGCGUAAAGAGCUCGUAGGCGGUUUUGUCGCGUCUGCUGUGAAAACCGGAGGCUCAACCUCCGGCCUGCAGUGGGUACGGGCAAACUAGAGUGGCGGUAGGGGGAGAUUUGGAAUUCCUGGUGUAGCGGUGGAAUGCGCAGAUAUCAGGAGGAACACCGAUGGGCAAGGCAGAUCGUCUGGGCCGUAACUGACGCUGAGGAGCGAAAGCGUGGGGAGCGAACCGG
rnacentral:rRNA from 1 species